rnacentral:rRNA from 1 species
CAGUCGCCGCGGUAAUACGUAGGGUGCAAGCGUUAAUCGGAAUUACUGGGCGUAAAGCGUGCGCAGGCGGUUAUAUAAGACAGAUGUGAAAUCCCCGGGCUCAACCUGGGAACUGCAUUUGUGACUGUAUAGCUAGAGUACGGCAGAGGGGGAUGGAAUUCCGCGUGUAGCAGUGAAAUGCGUAGAUAUGCGGAGGAACACCGAUGGCGAAGGCAAUCCCCUGGGCCUGUGCUGACGCUCAUGCACGAAAGCGUGGGGAGCAAACAGGAUUAGAUACCCCCGUAGUCCCUGUCUCUUAUAA